AUACGUAGGGUGCAAGCGUUAAUCGGAAUUACUGGGCGUAAAGCGUGCGCAGGCGGUUUGUAAGACAGUGGUGAAAUCCCCGGGCUCAACCUGGGAACUGCCAUUGUGACUGCAAGGCUGGAGUGCGGCAGAGGGGGAUGGAAUUCCGCGUGUAGCAGUGAAAUGCGUAGAUAUGCGGAGGUACACCGAUGGCGAAGGCAAUCCCCUGGGCCUGCACUGACGCUCAUGCACGAAAGCGUGGGGAGCAAACAGGAUUAGAUACCCUGGUAGUCCACGCCCUAAACGAUGUCAACUGGUUGUUGGGGAUUUAUUUUCUCAGUAACGAAGCUAACGCGUGAAGUUGACCGCCUGGGGAGUACGGCCGCAAGGUUAAAACUCAAAGGAAUUGACGGGG
rnacentral:rRNA from 1 species